UCAUGAAUUACGUUGCUGUCAAGACAACUAGGAAACAAAAGUGAAUCACCUCCAAGUCACAAUCUGUCAUUAGAAAUCUUGUUAAAAAUAAUACUAAGAGCAAAUACUGAAGCAAAUGCUUCACUUACCAAAACAGCUAUUCUGAAGUAGGUGGUUUGGUUCCAAAUGAAUGACUUUUCUACCUUUAGAAGGUAAACUACCUGAUUUAAAAUGUGGUUUUAUUCAGUGGACCUUUCAGCAGUAGCCAUCACUCACCAUUGAGAAGGUGGGCUUCUCUCACCACCUUAAUCUCUGUAGGUCUCUUUCACCCUCUAGCAUACAUCUUACUAAGGCAUCUAAAGUACUUACUACUUCGUACUCAUGGGAUCCAAUGAUGCUCACAUAAUGUCAUCAAUAGAGUGGACCAGUGUGAUGUUUUGUGGAAUGUCAGAACAAUCAAGAUCACUUCAGACUAUUAUGGCAGUGAGCAAGAGAACUAAUGGAGCCCGUGGCAACACUGGGAAGACAUAUUGUUGGCCCUGUUGGGUAACAGCAAAUCACUUCUGAUGGACCUUGCAAAUUGGUAUGGAGGAAAAGGCAUUAGCCAGGUAAAUAAGUGCAUACCAAAUGUCAGAUCUGCCCCAGGUGCAUACCAAUGUGUUAAUCUGCCCCAGUAAAGGUACUACUUCUGGGAGAGCAGCUGAAAUUGGAGUCCCCAUCUGAUUACAUUUAUGACAUUCCACAGUCAUUCUUCAAGAUCCAUUUGUCUUCUGCACAGUCUAAACUUGUAGCAAGGAAACCAAAAGGUAUAAACAUUCACUGAUUGAAAAACAAUGUCAUAAAGUCAUCCCAGUAUCUGUGAGGAGUUGGUUCCAGGACCCCUGAGGACACCAAAAUCCUCAGAUGCUCAAGUCCCUGAUAAAAAAAUAAAAGGUACAGUAUUUGCGUAUAACCUCCCCAUAUCCUCCUGUACACUUUAAAUCAUCACAAGAUUACUUAUAUUACCCAAUACAA
rnacentral:lncRNA from 1 species